GCGAGGCAGCAGUCUAGUCGAGUUGAAGUCCCCGGUCCAAUCCGGGAGGUCAUUCGUACUUGGAGACUCGAGUGCAGAAGAGGGAGAAGGUGGAGUCAAUGUGUAAGCGGGUGAAUGCGGUAGAAUAUUAUGGAGGAACACCAGUGGCGAAGGCGGCUCUUCUGGUCUGUUAACUGACGCUGAGGGCUCGAAAGCGUGGGGAGCAAACAGGAUUAGAUACCUGGUAGUCCACGCCGUAACGAUGAGUGCUAAGUGUUGGGAGGGUUUCCGCCCUUCAGUGCUGCAGCAAACGCAUUAAGCACUCCGCCUGGGGAUACGACCGCAAGGUUGAAACUCAAAGGAAUUGACGGGGGCCCGCACAAGCGGUGGAGCAUGUGGUUUAAUUCGAAGCAACGCGAAGAACCUUACCAGGUCUUGACAUCCUUUGACCACUCUAGAGAUAGAGCUUUCCCUUCGGGGACAAAGUGACAGGUGGUGCAUGGUUGUCGUCAGCUCGUGUCGUGAGAUGUUGGGUUAAGUCCCGCAACGAGCGCAACCCUUAUUGUUAGUUGCCAUCAUUUAGUUGGGCACUCUAAGCGAGACUGCCGGUGACAAACCGGAGGAGGUGGGGAUGACGUCAAAUCAUCAUGCCCCUUAUGACCUGGGCUACACACGUGCUACAAUGGGAAGUACAACGAGUCGCUAGACCGCGAGGUCAUGCAAAUCUCUUAAAGCUUCUCUCAGUUCGGAUUGCAGGCUGCAACUCGCCUGCAUGAAGCCGGAAUCGCUAGUAAUCGCGGAUCAGCACGCCGCGGUGAAUACGUUCCCGGGCCUUGUACACACCGCCCGUCACACCACGAGAGUUUGUAACACCCGAAGUCGGUGAGGUAACCUAUAGGGAGCCAGCGCGCCUAUAGAGCGGAGAUGAGG
rnacentral:rRNA from 1 species